rnacentral:rRNA from 1 species
UACGUAGGUGACAAGCGUUGUCCGGAUUUACUGGGCGUAAAGAGCGCGCAGGCGGUCGUUCAAGUCGAGUGUGAAAGCCCCGGCUCAACUGGGAGGGUCAUUCGAUACUGAUCGACUCGAAGGCAGGAGAGGGUAGUGGAAUUCCGGUGUAGUGGUGAAAUGCGCAGAUAUCAGGAGGAACACCAAUAGCGAAGGCAGCUCGCUGGGACGGUACUGACGCUGAGGCGCGAAAGCGUGGGGAGCGAACAGG